rnacentral:rRNA from 1 species
AGGUCAAGCUACAAAGGGCGCAUGGUGAAUGCCUUGGCACUAGGAGCCGAUGAAGGACGUGAUAAGCUGCGAUAAGCUUCGGGUAGGCGCAAAUAGCCUGUGAACCGAAGAUUUCCGAAUGAGGAAACUCUCAUGGGUAACCCCAUGAACUGUAUACUGAAUUCAUAGGUAUAUAGAGGUAAACCCGGGGAACUGAAACAUCUAAGUACCUGGAGGAAGAGAAAGAAAAAUCGAUUUCCUUAGUAGCGGCGAGCGAAACGGAAAGAGCCCAAACCGGAAACUUGUUUCCGGGGUUGCGGUCAGAUCAUUAAGGCUUUAUAUCUUAACCGAAGAUUUCUGGAAAGUUAAACCAUAGAAGGUAAUAGUCCUGUAGGUAAAAAGAGAAAAAAGCCCGAUUUGUACCAGAGUACCACGAGACACGUGAAACCUUGUGGGAAGCUGGGAGGACCACCUCCCAAGGCUAAAUACUACCUAGUGACCGAUAGUGAAGAAGUACCGUGAGGGAAAGGUGAAAAGAACCCCAGGAG